GUGCCAGCCGCCGCGGUAAUACGGAGGGUGCAAGCGUUGUCCGGAAUCACUGGGCGUAAAGGGUGCGCAGGCGGGGCAGCAAGUCGGAGGUGAAAGCCCAUGGCUCAACCAUGGAAGUGCCCUCGAAACUGUUGCUCUUGAGUCCCGGAGAGGCUAUCGGAAUUCGUGGUGUAGCGGUGAAAUGCGUAGAUAUCACGAGGAACACCAGAGGCGAAAGCGGGCAGCUGGACGGGUACUGACGCUCAGGCACGAAAGCGUGGGGAGCAAACAGGAUUAGAAACCCGUAGUAGUCC
rnacentral:rRNA from 1 species